GACAGGACUGGAGGAGAUUAUGCUGAGUGAAAUGUCAGACGCUGCUUCUACUCAGGAGCAGAAGUCCAGAUGGUCUUACUUGGUGGCUGAAACCAAUUUUGAUCGAGGCCUCUCUACCUACUUCUUUCAGCCCCAAACUUCACCGAACGUUUUGUGUUAAAAACAAAGGGCUAACAGAACUCAGCAAAAACAUUCUCCAGCAACUUCAGAUCCCACUUUUAUCAGGAUGGGGGGUCCUACCUGAGGUUGCCCACCUUCUGGCAGCUGGAAGGGCUUAUAUGAAGAAAAGCUUGCUGGCCAUGUUCAAACCACGUGGCCACCUUCAAGACACACAAACAGGAGGAGCUGUGGAAAGAUCCACACCGACGUAUACAUCCUUUUCCUUGGCCAUCACGAUAUAGUAGACCCCAGAAUGAAAGGAAAGUCUUAGUAAGUCAGAUAGAUAAUCUGUUCUUUGGCUUUUGGAUUUCAUUGUUCAUGGAGGGGGUAAGACCUCUUCGAUACCUUGGAAGCAGACUGAAUUUCUUGAGUAGAGGAUAGGGAAACUUUUGCUGAGUUUUGAUCAUUUGUGUAUCCCCAAGUUCCUCCACACAAGCAGACUGUGAAUGAAAACAACUCCAAAGACAUGUAAGACUAUGGCUAAUUGUGUAUGCAGUCAAUACAAUUUACUCCGGAAGAAGCAGUUUGCUGUUUAUUCACUGGGGGGAGAAAAACCAGCUUGAUAACACUGACAGAAGAGGAGUAUUGUGGGGCAGGUUGAAAGAAAAUGUUAUUUAAAAUGCUUCUGAA